rnacentral:SRP_RNA from 1 species
GUCACGUGGCCUGGGGUCACGUGACCUCGAGGGGUGGGGGGCGGAAAAAAAUUUCCCCGCUAGAUUUAGCGGGGAAAAUUUCCCGCUAAAUUUAGCGGGGAAAAUUUUCCGCUAGGUUUAGCGGGAAAAAUUUUCCGCUAGAUUUAGCGGGGAAAAUUUUCCGCUAAAUUUAGCGGGGAAAAUUUUCCGCUAGAUUUAGCGGGGACAUUUUUCCGCU